GUAUUUGAUUGGUAUAAUUCUAUGUGCCGCGGGGGAUUCAGGUGGCUAGGGCUUAAGCCUGAGACAACAAAAGACCACAUUGAGAAACUGAGAAUGAGGUGAACACAAGUCCGCAACCCGAAAAGGAAGAAUUAAUUCUAUCACGCAAACAAAUGCAAAAGGUCAAAGUUAGCAGAAGGAAAGAAACGUAGCAAGAAGCAAAUAGCAAUUAGGAUCGUGAAAGAUG